rnacentral:rRNA from 1 species
GGACGGGUGAGUAAUGCCUAGGAAGUUGCCCAGUAGAGGGGGAUAACCAUUGGAAACGAUGGCUAAUACCGCAUAACCUCUUCGGAGCAAAGCAGGGGACCUUCGGGCCUUGCGCUAUUGGAUACGCCUAGGUGGGAUUAGCUAGUUGGUGAGGUAAGGGCUCACCAAGGCGACGAUCCCUAGCUGGUCUGAGAGGAUGAUCAGCCACACUGGAACUGAGACACGGUCCAGACUCCUACGGGAGGCAGCAGUGGGGAAUAUUGCACAAUGGGCGAAAGCCUGAUGCAGCCAUGCCGCGUGUGUGAAGAAGGCCUUCGGGUUGUAAAGCACUUUCAGCAGUGAGGAAGGCAUUAAGAUUAAUACUCUUGUUGUUUGACGUUAGCUGCAGAAGAAGCACCGGCUAACUCCGUGCCAGCAGCCGCGGUAAUACGGAGGGUGCGAGCGUUAAUCGGAAUUACUGGGCGUAAAGCGCAUGCAGGUGGUGAGUUAAGUCAGAUGUGAAAGCCCGGGGCUCAACCUCGGAAUUGCAUUUGAAACUGAUUCACUAGAGUACUGUAGAGGGGGGUAGAAUUUCAGGUGUAGCGGUGAAAUGCGUAGAGAUCUGAAGGAAUACCAGUGGCGAAGGCGGCCCCCUGGACAGAUACUGACACUCAGAUGCGAAAGCGUGGGGAGCAAACAGGAUUAGAUACCCUGGUAGUCCACGCCGUAAACGAUGUCUACUUGGAGGUUGUGGCCUUGAGCCGUGGCUUUCGGAGCUAACGCGUUAAGUAGACCGCCUGGGGAGUACGGUCGCAAGAUUAAAACUCAAAUGAAUUGACGGGGGCCCGCACAAGCGGUGGAGCAUGUGGUUUAAUUCGAUGCAACGCGAAGAACCUUACCUACUCUUGACAUCCAGAGAACUUAGCAGAGAUGCUUUGGUGCCUUCGGGAACUCUGAGACAGGUGCUGCAUGGCUGUCGUCAGCUCGUGUUGUGAAAUGUUGGGUUAAGUCCCGCAACGAGCGCAACCCUUAUCCUUGUUUGCCAGCACUUCGGGUGGGAACUCCAGGGAGACUGCCGGUGAUAAACCGGAGGAAGGUGGGGACGACGUCAAGUCAUCAUGGCCCUUACGAGUAGGGCUACACACGUGCUACAAUGGCGCAUACAGAGGGCAGCCAACUUGCGAAAGUGAGCGAAUCCCAAAAAGUGCGUCGUAGUCCGGAUUGGAGUCUGCAACUCGACUCCAUGAAGUCGGAAUCGCUAGUAAUCGUAGAUCAGAAUGCUACGGUGAAUACGUUCCCGGGCCUUGUACACACCG